GAUUUCUUUUGUGUUGCACAAUUUUGAUAUAAAGCAGCCCGUUCUUUAUUUUGAAUUUAAGCAGUUCAUUCUUUAGGGAACAUUUAGUUGCAAUUGGAGAGAAGGAAUUGGAGAUGUCUCAUUUAUCGUCAAUCGAGGUGACGAGACUACAACAGGAUAUGAAGAGCACAAAAAAGUUAAUGACAAUAUGAAGGAGAAGUUUACGGGAAAAUUUUCGUAGUACAGUAUUGUGAACUGAGAAAAGAGUGCACAUCACAAAAGAUAGCUGACCUGUCACCUUCUCCGAGCCCUAGGUUGAUUGAUGGGAUCUUCUAAACCAAGUUUGAUAUUAUAGAUUAGUGAUGUAGGAGUCGCACUUUCGAUGGUUUACAUAUCUGGAUCACCUGUGAUGUAACAUCAAAUUAAUUGUGAAGACUCUGCUUAAAUAAUGUCCACAUGAAGUCACGUCCUGCAGGUUCUGGUUAGGCAUGUGAAAGACUUCCAUUGACCCGAAGUAUACACGUCAAAUGUAGUGCACAGAGAAGUAUUACACGGUACAUAAUUUGUAUUUGUAGGUUCUUUAAACUUUACAUUUGGAAUUAUUAUUUUAUUCACUAUCUCGGUCGCUUAAUUUCAA